GAUGAAGAACGUAGCGAAAUGCGAUACGUAAUGUGAAUUGCAGAAUUCAGUGAAUCAUCGAAUCUUUGAACGCACAUUGCGCUCUCUGGUAUUCCGGAGAGCAUGCUUGUUUGAGUAUCAGUAAACACCUCAAUUUCAUGAUUUUUAAUUUUGAAAUUGGACUUGAGCAGAUCCCAACGUACAUUUAAUUAUAUGGAGGGUUGCUUCAAAUGCAGGUGCAGCCGAUCGUUCUUCUGGGCUAAAAGCAUUAUCUAGUUAAUCCCGUAAAACGGAUUAUUCACUUUAUUGCUGCAGCUUACUUUUAUAAAAGGAAGACAUGGUCAUUGUGCUGACUGAUGCAGGAAUUCUCAGAGGUCUGUAAAGACUUUUGAAAACUCGAUCUCAAAUCAAGUAAGACUACCCGCUGAACUUAAGCAUAUCAAUAAGCGGAGGA
rnacentral:misc_RNA from 1 species